GCCGAGGCUGGGCAGCUGGGCACAGAGGAGCCCAAUCGCGCCCCUAAGGUGUGCGUGUGCAACCCAUGGGGCGGGGCCGGGCCGAGGAUUCCCACAUUGCCUCUCAUCUCUGUGAAAACUCAGGACAGUAUUCUCAACGCUGAUCUCAAGUAAACUCUACCUCACUGCUAUCUACUAAUGAAUAAAGUCUGAAGCACCUGUGCUAGCACACGGAACAAAGUGACUGCUCUUACAGAGGACCGAAGCAGUCUCCAAAUCCCGGCACUCAUGUCCCCUGGCUCCCUCUGAACUCUGCAUUGCACUCACCAGCACGGGCACUGAGGAGCUUCCAGCACAUUUUCAAGGCCUGCAGUCCAGGCUCUCCCACCCUUCUGCCAUCUGGCCUGCACUCCAGACUCCCCCAGCUGCAGACUUGUGUCCUUGGAACAUACCCUGCUAAGGAGAACCUCUGCUCCCCCGCCCUUCUGCUACCUGCCCUACUUAAGCCCUGCUGGUACUUUCAAUAAACGAGACUUGAUCAGAAUACUGUCUUGUCUCCGUCUCUCACGUCUCUUGUACCCCCAUUCUCACUCCCUCCCCAAGGGUCCCCGUGGACUGACCCCACGGGCCGGGGCACCCUAACUCCCAGCUGUGUCAGAACUGGAGGACAGGAGCAGAGCUGGGCCUGGGGGUACAGCACUCUGAGCAGCAGCAAGCCAGCAUCUAGUCCAACAGGGGUUUCUGCAGCCGUACUCUACAAAGGACACACACAAAGACUAGAGGGCUCACCCAGGACUGUUUGCCACAGGCCUUCACUUAGCAGUCGAUCCCAACUCGGUGCAGAGCCCACAGCAUCUUAGAUUCUCCGAGCACUCCUCUCGAGAAGUCUGGUUCAGUCUUAGGACCAAUCUGUGGGCUGUUGCGUCAGUAGUCACACUUCUUUUUCUCUGGACUCCAGCCCAGACUUGAGAGAGACAGAGAGACAAAAGAAAGGACACGAGGGCCUGCUUUGCCUGU